UACCUUCUGGUGUUAUCCAAAGGUUUCUAGACUGACCCCAGCCUCCAACUGCCCCGAUGGGGUGUUGGCAACAAGAUCUCCAACUUUCCUAUAAUAACUUCCUCCUUUCCUGUCCAUGACCAUCAUAUCUCUUAUCCUUUUUGUGUAUGCAAUGUGUGGGAAGUUUUACAGUUCAGGGAAGUAGUCUUGUUUGACAAGAUCAGGGAAUGGGUAUAUGACUCAAGGGAAGGUGUCUGUGAUUUUCUAGGAACAGAGAGUUUCCUUCUCCCCAUGGUGAGCCUCUCCCUCUACCCUUGAUCUGGAGAGCACAUGGCAUGUCAAA
rnacentral:lncRNA from 10 species